CUGAAACAUCUUGUCAAACCCAAAACAAGGAAUUAUCAAAAACUACUAGCAUUAUGUUAAAAGGACUCAAAAGCCAACUUGAAGAAGAUUUCCAGUGCCAAAUAACACAAUUAGAGUGCUAAAGGGAUAAUAACUAUGAGAUUGAACAAAUAAAAUAUGUUUAAAUCUAGAUAUUCAUGGAGUUCCCUUGUGGUGGUUAAGGAUCCCAGGUUGUCACUGCUGUGGCUAAGUUUCAGCCCCUGGCCCAGGAACUUCCCCAUGCUAUGGGCACUGCCAAAAAAAAAAAAAAAAAAAAGCAAAACCUAUAUGUUUAAAAGAGCUCAUUUUCAUCCCUGGGGGAUGCUAAUAAACCAGUUCAUCAUUUUGAAAACUGAUAAAUAAAAGGAAAGAAUUUACCCUGCCUUCCAUGCACUAACUGUAAGUCAGGUAAUGAAAAAGGUGGUGAGGGAAAGUUUCUCUUUGUAGACAUACAGCUAAUAAAUUAAAAUGGAAAGACAGACUUACGAUAUCGCCAUUUUACACCUUUUAAUGAAAUAUGAAUAAAGACAAUGGUAUUCAUUGGCUGCUAAAUCAUGAAAAUAAGAAUAUUAGAACUUUUUUGCCUCCUGAUGAAAUAUUAAUGCCCUUCAAAAAAUCAAACCUGAUUCUAAUCAAAUCUUCAGGUCUAAUUAUCAGUUUUAGUUAAUGCAGAGAAAGGGGGAAAUGUAAAAUCACCAUAAAUGCAAUCAGUCAAGUCCAAACUCUGGAAAAUUCUACAUUAUAAAUGACUUGAUUAAUAAUUUAAUUAUAAAAAAAUAAAUGAGGAGGAACUAAAGAUUAAAAGGUAACAUGAGAAAUAUCAAGCAAUUGAAAUAUAUGAACUUUUUUGAAUAUUGAUUCAAACAAAAAAAUCUUUUUAAACAGAAAUUUGAAGAGACCCUAGACUCUUGAUAGUAAACACUUUUUUGGUGUAAUAAUAGCAUUGUUAUUACACUUUUAAAGGAAUUAUUUUAGAUAUAUAUAAAGAAAGAUUUAUCAAUGAAGUAUCAAUGCCAUAAGUAUUUAGAAAACAAAAUUAGGCUCUUGGAAAUUAAACACAAGAUAGCAGGAGUGGAAGAAAAGGUGAAGGUAUCCUUCAGAAUGCAGAGCAAAAAUCAAAAUGAUGAGAAUUAGAGAAAGUUUUUUAAAGAGAGUAGUCCAGGAAAUUUAACAUCCAAAUGUUGGGAGUUCCAGAAAGAGAAAACUCGCAGGAGGAAAUAACCAAGAACACUAUUCAACAAAACUUCCUAUUACUGAAAGACUUGAGAUCUUCCCUGAAUGUCCAUUUCAACAGAUAAAAAUCAAACAAAGCACAGCACUAUGAAGUCUCCAAACACUGUUGCCCAGUGUUCUGAAAUUGUUUGGAAAUCCUAAAGGCUUCCAAGGAAAAGGAACAUUCACAAACAAUCAGGAGUAAAAAUGAAUUGAAGCUAUUGAGAGAAACACCAAGAGUUAGAAGAUAAAUGGAACAGUAGCUUCAGGGCUCUAAAAGAAAAGUAUUUCCAACUUAGAAUUUGGAAUUAUCACACAGCCAUUCUCAAAGGAAUAUUGGAUGAUAGGCUUCACCUAAAUGUAAAGAGAAAAACAUGGCAUCCAGAGAAAAAGACUUCCCACACAGGAGACGGCUGGAGGGAAUUCCCAGAUUGAUGGUGAAGGGAGAUCCCAGGAUAACUGCUGGAAAACCAGCCAUAGAGGAUAAUUAUUGAGAAGCCUCUCCAAGAAGUCAGAGAGCCUUGUUUAGGAAGGUUAAAUUGAUAGAGCUUCUAUGGGAAUGACCAUACUGAAAAUCAUACAGGCAGCUGACAGAGUUGGGAUUAAAUUUGUGAUAACUACUUAGAAAACUAAAUCAUCAAAAAGGAUACAGUUAUUCCACCUUUUCUGUACAAACUAUAUUUCAGGGUCAUCAAAUAGUUGAUAAGAAAAAGUUCAUACUGAUAAGAAUUUUAGCUAAUUAAUGCAAAAGGAAUAUUGGCAUUUAAAAAUCGCCAUUUUAAACACCUGAUGAGGGAAUUGACAUAGGCAAUAAAAGUAUUAGAAUGAAAGGUAGUGUGAUGGAUAAUUUAACAUCAACUUGAUUGGGCUGCUGGGUGCCAGGAUACUUGGUUAAACAUUAUUCUGGGUGUGUUUGUGUUUCUGUAUAAGAUUAACAUUUUAAUCAGUAGAUUGAGUAAAGCAGGUGGCCCUCCCUAAUGUGGGUGGUCAUCAUCCAAUCAGUUGAAGGUCCGAGUAGAACAAGAAGAUGACUCUUCAAGUAAAAGGGAACUCUUCCUGUCUUGCUUCCUUGAGCUGAGACAUUGCUCUUUUCCUGCCUUCAGAACUGAACCGAAACACUGGCUCUUGGAUCUAGAGCUUGCUGUCUUUCAGACAAGAAAAUCCAUCACCUGCAGUCCUGGUUCUCAGGCCUUUGGACUUGGUCUGGAACUGCACCAUCAGCUCUCCUGGGUCUCCAGCCCGCUGACUGCAGAUCUUGGGACUUCUCAGCAUCCACAAUCAUGUGAGCCAAUUCCUUAUAUAUUCUUUAUAUCUAUCUAUCCUUUUGUUUCUGUUUCUCUGGAGAACCAUCACUAAUACAGGUAGGAAAAUAAAUUUUAUAAUGGAGAAAUCAGGGUGAUACCACUUGCAUCCACCAACCAAUCUUAGCAUCUCUAAAACUGAGACAGCAGAUUUUAGGUACCUUAAAAUGUGAUGUAAUACAAAAUAAUUAGCACUAUUACUUUAGUUUGGGUUGUUCAAGAAGCAAGCAUAAAAAGAAGGAUUUAAAUACGAGACAUUUAUUUGGGAGGUGAUUCCAGGAAACACCAUUAGUAGAGUGAUACAGGAACAAGACGUCCUUAAACAAUGUGCUAUCAGAGUUCCUGUUGUGGCUCAGCAGGUUAAGAACCCAACAUAGUGUCCAUGAGGAUGCAGGUUUAAUCCCUGGCCUCACUCAGUGGGUUAAGGACCUGGCCUUGCCCCAAGCUGCAGCGUAGGUCACAGAUGUGGCUCAGAUCCAGCAUUGCUACCCUGUGGCAUAGGAUGGCAGUUGCAGCUCCCAUUCAAUGCCUAUGCCUGAGAACUUCCAAAUGCCUCAGGUGCAGCC
rnacentral:lncRNA from 1 species